GAUGAACGCUGGCGGCGUGCCUAAUACAUGCAAGUCGAGCGAAUGGAUUAAGAGCUUGCUCUUAUGAAGUUAGCGGCGGACGGGUGAGUAACACGUGGGUAACCUGCCCAUAAGACUGGGAUAACUCCGGGAAACCGGGGCUAAUACCGGAUAACAUUUUGAACCGCAUGGUUCGAAAUUGAAAGGCGGCCUCGGCUGUCACUUAUGGAUGGACCCGCGUCGCAUUAGCUAGUUGGUGAGGUAACGGCUCACCAAGGCAACGAUGCGUAGCCGACCUGAGAGGGUGAUCGGCCACACUGGGACUGAGACACGGCCCAGACUCCUACGGGAGGCAGCAGUAGGGAAUCUUCCGCAAUGGACGAAAGUCUGACGGAGCAACGCCGCGUGAGUGAUGAAGGCUUUCGGGUCGUAAAACUCUGUUGUUAGGGAAGAACAAGUGCUAGUUGAAUAAGCUGACACCUUGACGGUACCUAACCAGAAAGCCACGGCUAACUACGUGCCAGCAGCAGCCGCGG
rnacentral:rRNA from 1 species